GAGUUUGAUCAUGGCUCAGAACGAACGCUGGCGGCGUGGCUAAGACAUGCAAGUCGAACGGGAUGGUGCAUGUAGCAAUACAUGUGCCAUCUAGUGGCGAACGGGUGCGUAACACGUGAGCAAUCUGCCUCUAAGGUGGGGAAUAGCUCGGACGAAAGCCGGAUUAAUACCGCAUGUGGUCCUCCUUCGCAUGGGAGGGGAAACUAAAGGUCGGGGAUCGCAAGACCUGACGCUUGGAGAGGAGCUC
rnacentral:rRNA from 1 species